rnacentral:rRNA from 1 species
UCCAGACUCCUACGGGAGGCAGCAGUGGGGAAUAUUGCACAAUGGGGGAAACCCUGAUGCAGCGACGCCGCGUGAGCGAGGAAGUAUUUCGGUAUGUAAAGCUCUAUCAGCAGGGACGAAAAAAGACGGUACCUGACUAAGAAGCCCCGGCUAACUACGUGCCAGCAGCCGCGGUAAUACGUAGGGGGCAAGCGUUAUCCGGAUUUACUGGGUGUAAAGGGAGCGUAGACGGCAAGGCAAGCCAGAAGUGAAAGCCCGGGGCUCAACUCCGGGACUGCUUUUGAAACUGUGUGACUGGAGUGCAGGAGAGGUAAGCGGAAUUCCUGGUGUAGCGGUGAAAUGCGUAGAUAUCAGGAGGAACACCAGUGGCGAAGGCGGCUUACUGGACUGUAACUGACGUUGAGGCUCGAAAGCGUGGGGAGCAAACAGGAUUAGAUACCCGCGUAUA